CCCUAUUAUACUAAAUUUUUGAUUAGCACUAAAGUAUUAUGAGAUGGAGUCUUUAAAUUUUAAGAAGGCGGUAAUUUAGUCUUUUCAGAGGAACCUGUUUUUGAAUCGAUAAACCACGAAACAUCUUACUUAUCUUAGAAUUAAUUUAUAAAUUAAGGUUUGUAUACCGUCAUUAUCAGAUAAUAUUUAGAGAUAGAAUUAUUUAAUUUUAAAUAGUAAGGGAAAUUAGAUCAAGGUGCAGCUUAUGGAUAAGUUAAAAUGGGUUACAAUUAAGUCUAUAUAAUAAUGGAUUAGAAGUUGAAACAUUUCUAGGAAGGAGGAUUUGAUUGUAUGUUGAGUUAGUGAGGUAAAAAGAUAUAAGCUCUAAAUUAUGUACAC
rnacentral:rRNA from 1 species